rnacentral:tRNA from 1 species
AGCCUUCUAGCUCAAUAGGUAGAGCUUUGUGCGAACGCACAAAAGAUGUGGGUUCGAAUCCCACGUAGGUUA